GUGCACAAAAUAAUUAAUACAUUAAUAAUUCUUAAUGUUUCCAGUCAAGCACUUUGAACGGAUGUGCAUCCGAAUCUUGAAAAUAGAUGCCAUCAUCCUCUGCUAUCCAAAAGCAAGAACCACUAAUACAGUAUUUAUGUGCCCAUGCAGUAUAAAAAGCAUCGAAAGAAGCAAACUCCGAACCCCACCUAAGAGUGCAGAAAAAUAAUGUAGCUGAGAAAACGUUUUCACAAAACUUCCAACGAAAUUCUUGGCCGACAGCAAGAGUAUGAUACCCAAGAUCAUCAUCUUUAGAUGCACAAUGCAAUUUCAGCACUGAUCCCUGUGGGAGUUGGUUGGAGACAUGCAUCUCAAAUUUUGUACUAAAAAAACAAGAGCGAACUGUGAGAUGAAGGUUACACGCCAAUAGAAUAAGAAAUAAAAAGAGGCUUUUCAUCACGUACGAGUUGUUG
rnacentral:lncRNA from 1 species